rnacentral:rRNA from 1 species
GCCUGGUGGCGAAGUGGCGAACGGGUGAGUAAUGCAUCGGAACGUGCCCAUGUCGUGGGGGAUAACGUAGCGAAAGCUACGCUAAUACCGCAUACGCCCUGAGGGGGAAAGCGGGGGAUUCUUCGGAACCUCGCGCGAUUGGAGCGGCCGAUGUCGGAUUAGCUAGUAGGUGAGGUAAAGGCUCACCUAGGCGACGAUCCGUAGCGGGUCUGAGAGGAUGAUCCGCCACACUGGGACUGAGACACGGCCCAGACUCCUACGGGAGGCAGCAGUGGGGAAUUUUGGACAAUGGGGGCAACCCUGAUCCAGCCAUGCCGCGUGAGUGAAGAAGGCCUUCGGGUUGUAAAGCUCUUUCGGCCGGGAAGAAAUCGGCGACUCUAACAUAGUCGCUGGAUGACGGUACCGGACUAAGAAGCACCGGCUAACUACGUGCCA